CAGCUACUCGGUAGGCUGAGGCACAAGAAUCGCUUGAACCCAGGAGGCAGAGAUUGCAGUGAGCCAAGAUUGCGCCGCUGCACUCCAGCCUGGGUGACAGAAUGAGACUCCAUCUCGAAAAAAAAAAAAAAAAAAUCUAAACCUGAAGACUUGGUGAACUCCUGCCUUUCCACCACUUAGCAGCCUCUGUGCCUAUGGCCCAUGCCUACCCUCCAGCCCCACAGACCAGCCUGGCUGCUCCACCAUCACCCGCACCAGGUCUAUGUCCUUCCAGCCAUCCUCAAAUGCUGCCAUGCCCCCUUUGCUGCCUCCUGGCCACUGCCUGACAACCACAGAAGCUGUCACCACUUUGUUCCUAAGUUGGAGUUCCUUGCUCUGAAGAAAAUUGGUUCCAACAGGACUUUGUAACAAUGUCAUCACCCAGAGAGAACCACAAUCUGCAUCUCAUUUCCAGCCAGGUUCCACUGCCGA
rnacentral:lncRNA from 1 species